AUUUCAACAAUUGGAAAAGGUUUUACUUAGCUGUGAAUUAAAAGGGAAUCGUGUGUAAAUCACGUACUGUCGCGCAACUGUAAGUAACAUAUGAAGGUUUUUAUCCAAGAGCUCCACUGCGUAAUAGCGGGAAGGACGAUAAAAGCUGUUACAAGUCAGGAUACCUGCCUGUUCUAUAUUGACGAU
rnacentral:ncRNA from 2 species